GCGGGUGUAGUUCAAUGGUAGAACAUCAGCUUCCCAAGCUGAAUACGAGGGUUCGAUUCCCUUCACCCGCU
rfam:Magnetospira sp. QH-2 chromosome, complete genome